rnacentral:rRNA from 1 species
CGGGGUGCAGAGGCGCGAAAACUUUACAAUGCGGGAAACCGUGAUAAGGGGACACCGAGUGCCAGCAUCAUAUGCUGGCUGUCCGGGUGUGUAAAAUACACCCGUUAGCAAGGGCCGGGCAAGACCGGUGCCAGCCGCCGCGGUAACACCGGCGGCCCGAGUGGUGAUCGUGAUUAUUGGGUCUAAAGGGUCCGUAGCCGGUUUGGUCAGUCCUCCGGGAAAUCUGACGGCUCAACCGUUAGGCUUUCGGGGGAUACUGCCAGGCUUGGAACCGGGAGAGGUAAGAGGUACUACAGGGGUAGGAGUGAAAUCUUGUAAUCCCUGUGAGACCACCUGUGGCGAAGGCGUCUUACCAGAACGGGUUCGACGGUGAGGGACGAAAGCUGGGGGCACGAACCGGAUUAGAUACCCGGGUAGUCCCAGCCGUAAACGAUGCUCGCUAGGUGUCAGGCAUGGCGCGACCGUGUCUGGUGCCGCAGGGAAGCCGUGAAGCGAGCCACCUGGGAAGUACGGCCGCAAGGCUGAAACUUAAAGGAAUUGGCGGGGGAGCACAAGGGCGAUUCGCG